rnacentral:tRNA from 1 species
GCCGGUGUGUCGGAAUCGGUAGACGAAUCGGACUUAAAAUCCGCGGUCUAUAAGGCGUGAGGGUUCGAGUCCCUUCACCGGCA